rnacentral:rRNA from 1 species
AUUGAACGCUGGCGGCAUGCUUUACACAUGCAAGUCGAACGGUAACAGGCCGCAAGGUGCUGACGAGUGGCGAACGGGUGAGUAAUGCAUCGGAACGUGCCCAGUCGUGGGGGAUAACUACUCGAAAGAGUAGCUAAUACCGCAUACGAUCUAUGGAUGAAAGCGGGGGACCGUAAGGCCUCGCGCGAUUGGAGCGGCCGAUGUCAGAUUAGGUAGUUGGUGGGGUAAAGGCUCACCAAGCCAACGAUCUGUAGCUGGUCUGAGAGGACGACCAGCCACACUGGGACUGAGACACGGCCCAGACUCCUACGGGAGGCAGCAGUGGGGAAUUUUGGACAAUGGGCGCAAGCCUGAUCCAGCAAUGCCGCGUGCAGGAAGAAGGCCUUCGGGUUGUAAACUGCUUUUGUACGGAACGAAACGGCUCUGGUUAAUACCCGGGGAUAAUGACGGUACCGUAAGAAUAAGCACCGGCUAACUACGU